GGCAAUUGCACUGCGGCGUAUUGCUCUCCCUUCCCUCUGUGAUGACUGUUAUGGUGGAAGUGGAAGACAUUUUGCAUGUUCUUAGUCACUGCCAUCAAGCUCGGGGAUUUUUGUUGGGUUUGGUUGAUCCCAAUUUUGUGGGAGAUUAUUUUGAUCCCAAUUUGAAGGUUACAGAAGGGAUGCAAUUGAAAUUAAGAAGGAACGACCUCGUGAAUUUUAAAUGUUCCAGGAAUGGCUCACUGUCCCUUCCUCGGGCUGAGACGUCGGUGUCUUGGAGGGACCCUGAUCAUGGAUUUAACAAGCUCAAUACCGGUGGGUCGAGAAGAGAGAACACUGGAGAAGCGUCAGCAGGGGGUCUUAUGCGGGAUUUUGUGGGAAAUUGCUGCAGAGGUUUUGUUUCCAACUUAGGUCGUUGCUCUAUUCUGGCUGCGGAAAUCUGGGAAAGGUUUGAAAUUAGCCAAAGCGAUGGGAAUAACUCAGAUCAUGGUUGAGUGCUAUAAUGAAAUUGCAGUGGUUAUUUUGCAGGGAAGGAUUGAGGGGCAUCCUAUGGUUUAUGCUCUGGUCAAGGAAGUCAAGAGAUUUCUUGAGAUGGAUUGGGAUGUCAGAAUUCAGCAUGUGUAUAGAGAAGCUAAUUUCUCUGCAGAUUGGAUGGCAAAUUUUGCCUCGAGCUUUCCUCUGGGAACGCAUCAGAUUGCUCUUCCGCCUGUGGCUCGCUCACGAUGCUGUUGGCACUGCCUAUUCUAUGAAUGUGGUUGCGUAGUUUGUUUUCUUAGCCUUUGGGCUCGUUGUUUCCACCCAAAAAAUAGAAAGCACUUGAACAAACAUGUACUCAUCCCACUUUUCAGAUAAAAUUCAAUCUCCUCUCUGGCUGUCUCAUUUUCUAUUUCUGUGUAUCUUACUCGUUGCUCACCUGGCAUGUCGUCACUGCUAAGAUCACUAUAACUCUCAACAUCUCUAUAUAAAGAGCAUUCCUCAUUCUGCACUUACCAUCUCAACACUCCCAAUACCUUCAUCCAUUAUCGUUUCUCCACUGAAGAACUCGCUUCAACCAAUGGCUGCUACUGCUUUGGAUAAGAGCGUGCCAGAGAACUGGCCUCCAGUGCUGGAACCCACUGCUGAGCAACCUCCACUCUUCGAUGGA
rnacentral:misc_RNA from 1 species